UAAUAGUAGUAUUCAUUCUUUUUCAGCUCCAGCGCUUUGGUCUCUUCUGUGGGUGCUGCCGCCUCCGGUUUGGCCUCGCCUUCGCUUUCGUUCUUUUCUUUGUUUUCUCCCUGUUCACCACCUUUAUUUCCUUUGUCACCACCACCACCUCCUCCGUCUUCUUUUUUCUCUUCUUUGGAUUCUUUUCCUUUCUCUUCUUCUGCUUUUUUCUCUGCCUCCUGCUUCACUAUCACCGCGUGCUUGCCCGUUCUCUUGUAUACGUAGUCUACUAGUUUUGGAGGAUCAAACACACCCUUCACUGUUACCUGUGAGCUCUUUAGAUCUGGUUCAGCUGAUUCCACACCUACAAGAGAAGCAUAUCAAGAAUCAGAUUUUGACCCCAUUUAAUGCAAGAUUUCAAGAAUUAUGAUGCUGGGCUGGUGGGGUUUGAUUUAGGAUUCGAAAUCCAUCGACUUUUUCGAUUUCAACUAGAACAAAUUGAAUUGAAUGACUAAUAAAAUAAGGGAGAUUGAGGGAAUAAAAUCUUUUGUGAGAGAUUCAAAAGGUGAUAAAGACAAUAACUUAAUCAUCUUCAAACUAUCAAAAGGGGAGACAAAAACGUGAACCACCAAUCGAUCUAAGUUGAAGAGAAAUCGCAUGAACCGAAAAUGGAACAAGGGCACCUAAAAAAAAAUUGGCACUUUAUCAUGACUAAAAAUAAAAAGAACAAAAAGAAAAAGAAAAAGGUCAUGCCUUUCAUUCUCUGCAUCCGUCUCUUAAUUUCCAUUGCACAGGCUUCACAAUGCAUGUAAACCUUUAGGACCACUGUGAUCACCGGAGGCUGCACAAUCAAGAAAAUGAACUCAAAAUUUUAAUUAAAGAUAACCAGAAGAAUUUCGAAGAAACAAGAAGAGGAGUAAAAGUUAAAAACUUCUUCUUUCUUCUCUUCUGGCUUGGGCUUCUCCUUUUCUUCAGCUGCCUUUUUCUCCUCCUCAGACGGCGGUUUUGGGAUCGGAGAAAUGAGCUCGACCUGCCUAUGGCUCUUCCUCUGAACUCUCUCUAGAACCUUCAGUGGAUCCGCCUUCUCUCCCUUUACUAC
rnacentral:lncRNA from 1 species